AUUGAACGCUGGCGGCAGGCCUAACACAUGCAAGUCGAGCGAGUGGCGGACGGGUGAGUAAUGAUUGGGAAUAUAGCUUAUGGAGGGGGAUAACUAAGGGAAACUGUAGCUAAUAACGAGUACCAUAGGAUGAGCCCAAGUGGGAUUAGGUAGUUGGUGAGGUAAAGGAUCAACAAGACGACGAUCUCUAGCUGGUCUGAGAGGAAGACCAGCCACACUGGGACUGAGACACGGCCCAGACUCCUACGGGAGGCAGCAGUGGGGAAUAUUGCGCAAUGGGGGCAACCUGACGCAGCCAUGCCGCGUGAAUGAAGAAGGCCUUCUGGUUGUAAAGUUCUUUCGUUAGCGAGGCGUUAACUACAGAAGAAGCACCGGCUAACUCCGUGCCAGCAGCCGCGGUAAUAC
rnacentral:rRNA from 1 species